UACGUAGGGGGCAAGCGUUGUCCGGAAUCAUUGGGCGUAAAGAGCGUGUGGGCGGCCAGAAAAGUCCGCUGUGAAAACUCGAGGCUCAACUUCGAGCUGUCGGUGGAAACUUUCUGGCUAGAGUCCGGAAGAGGAGAAUGGAAUUCCUGGUGUAGCGGUGAAAUGCGCAGAUAUCAGGAAGAACACCCGUGGCGAAGGCGGUUCUCUGGGACGGUACUGACGCUGAGACGCGAAAGCGUGGGGAGCGAACAGG
rnacentral:rRNA from 1 species